GUCUACAGCCAUGCUACCCUGAAUAAGCCCGAUUCCAUCUGAUCUCGGAAGCUAAGCAGAGUCGGGCCUAGUUAGUAUUUGAAUGGGAGACCACCUAGGAAGAUCAGGUGCUGUAGGCA
rnacentral:rRNA from 1 species